rnacentral:misc_RNA from 1 species
AUUCGGAUUCCUGAGACCAAAAUAUGAUAGGAAUAUCAUAGGAAACUCCAUUGAAAAAAUUCUGCAUCAUCAUCUCAAAUUCUGAGAAAACUGUUAGGCUAUAGGCUUACCGUUUUUUUGGGGUAAAAAGUGAAGUAUUUGUCAAAUUAAUUCCAGGACGCUUUUUCUACGUGAAAUUACGUAACGAACACGAAGUCGUUGAUUAGAUUCGGCUAGCAUCAAAUCCCAUCGAGGCGCACAGAUCAACUAGGACUUGUACCAGAUGCCACAGGAAAGCAUUGAGGCAUUGAAGUCUCUGAGGCAACGGUGGCAACACACCCGCAUAGAAAAUACGAGACUAUCCUCGUUGCAUUUACACCACUGGACUAUAAAAUAUCCCGUAGUUUGGUGAUCUAUACAUCCAAUCACUAUGUGUUCCGAGUGAAUAAUUACGUAGAAAUGAACAAUAAUGUAUACCUCUUGUAUCUUAGAGAAUAAGAAAUGAAUAAUUGAAUAUUAACUGAAAUGAAACUAUCGUCCAUACUCUUGUAACGCAUUGAU